UCUCCUGUAGCUCAUCAGUGGUAGAGCGUCCGACCGGUAUGCGGAAGGUCAUAGGUUCAACUCCUGUUGGGAAAA
rnacentral:tRNA from 1 species